GUUUAGCCCCGAUUGAAGUGGUAUCCUUUUUAUUAGCUCUAUAAAAAAGACGUCAUUGCGAGGUACGAAGCAAUCUGUUGUUUAAUAUGAGAUUGCCACAGUUUAAAAAAAAAUAAAAUUCGCAAUGACAGUUAUAAAAAGAUAUAACGGAAAGCGGGAAAUAGC
rnacentral:sRNA from 1 species